GGCUCACCAAGGCGAUGAUACGUAGCCGAACUGAGAGGUUGAUCGGCCACAUUGGGACUGAGACACGGCCCAAACUCCUACGGGAGGCAGCAGUAGGGAAUCUUCCACAAUGGACGCAAGUCUGAUGGAGCAACGCCGCGUGAGUGAAGAAGGCUUUCGGGUCGUAAAACUCUGUUGUUGGAGAAGAAUGGUCGGCAGAGUAACUGUUGUCGGCGUGACGGUAUCCAACCAGAAAGCCACGGCUAACUACGUGCCAGCAGCCGCGGUAAUACGUAGGUGGCAAGCGUUAUCCGGAUUUAUUGGGCGUAAAGCGAGCGCAGGCGGUUUUUUAAGUCUGAUGUGAAAGCCCUCGGCUUAACCGAGGAAGCGCAUCGGAAACUGGGAAACUUGAGUGCAGAAGAGGACAGUGGAACUCCAUGUGUAGCGGUGAAAUGCGUAGAUAUAUGGAAGAACACCAGUGGCGAAGGCGGCUGUCUGGUCUGUAACUGACGCUGAGGCUCGAAAGCAUGGGUAGCGAACAGGAUUAGAUACCCUGGUAGUCCAUGCCGUAAACGAUGAAUGCUAGGUGUUGGAGGGUUUCCGCCCUUCAGUGCCGCAGCUAACGCAUUAAGCAUUCCGCCUGGGGAGUACGACCGCAAGGUUGAAACUCAAAGGAAUUGACGGGGGCCCGCACAAGCGGUGGAGCAUGUGGUUUAAUUCGAAGCAACGCGAAGAACCUUACCAGGUCUUGACAUCUUUUGAUCACCUGAGAGAUCAGGUUUCCCCUUCGGGGGCAAAAUGACAGGUGGUGCAUGGUUGUCGUCAGCUCGUGUCGUGAGAUGUUGGGUUAAGUCCCGCAACGAGCGCAACCCUUAUGACUAGUUGCCAGCAUUUAGUUGGGCACUCUAGUAAGACUGCCGGUGACAAACCGGAGGAAGGUGGGGAUGACGUCAAAUCAUCAUGCCCCUUAUGACCUGGGCUACACACGUGCUACAAUGGAUGGUACAACGAGUUGCGAGACCGCGAGGUCAAGCUAAUCUCUUAAAGCCAUUCUCAGUUCGGACUGUAGGCUGCAACUCGCCUACACGAAGUCGGAAUCGCUAGUAAUCGCGGAUCAGCACGCCGCGGUGAAUACGUUCCCGGGCCUUGUACACACCGCCCGUCACACCAUGAGAGUUUGUAACACCCGAAGCCGGUGGCGUAACCCUUUUAGGGAGCGAGCCGUCUAAGGUGGGACAAAUGAUUAGGGUGAAGUCGUAACAAGGUAGCCGUAGGAGAACCUGCGGCUGGAUCACCUCCUUU
rnacentral:rRNA from 2 species